rnacentral:rRNA from 1 species
UUAGAACGUCGUGAGACAGUUCGGUCCCUAUCUGCCGUGGGCGCUGGAGAACUGAGGGGGGCGUGCUCCUAGUACGAGAGGACCGGAGUGGACGCAUCACUGGUGUUCGGGUUGUCAUGCCAAUGGCACUGCCCGGUAGCUAAAUGCGGAAGAGAUAAGUGCUGAAAGCAUCUAAGCACGAAACUUGCCCCGAGAUGAGUUCUCCCUGAGACUUUAGGUCUCCUGAAGGAACGUUGAAGACGACGACGUUGAUAGGCCGGGUGUGUAAGCGCAGCGAUGCGUUGAGCUAACCGGUACUAAUGAACCGUGAGGCUUAACCUUAC